GUCUACAGCCAUGCCACCCUAAACAAGCCUGAUCCCUUCUGAUCUUGGAAACGAAGCAGGGUCGGGCCCAGUUAGUUCUUGGAUGGGAGACCACCUAGGAAGACCAGGUGCUAUAGGCG
rnacentral:rRNA from 1 species